rnacentral:rRNA from 1 species
CGGACGGGUGAGUAAUGCCUAGGAAUCUGCCUGGUAGUGGGGGACAACGUUUCGAAAGGAACGCUAAUACCGCAUACGUCCUACGGGAGAAAGCAGGGGACCUUCGGGCCUUGCGCUAUCAGAUGAGCCUAGGUCGGAUUAGCUAGUUGGUGAGGUAAUGGCUCACCAAGGCGACGAUCCGUAACUGGUCUGAGAGGAUGAUCAGUCACACUGGAACUGAGACACGGUCCAGACUCCUACGGGAGCAGCAGC